AUUGAACGCUGGCGGCAUGCCUUACACAUGCAAGUCGAACGGCAGCAUAGGAGCUUGCUCCUGAUGGCGAGUGGCGAACGGGUGAGUAAUAUAUCGGAACGUGCCCUAGAGUGGGGGAUAACUAGUCGAAAGACUAGCUAAUACCGCAUACGAUCUACGGAUGAAAGUGGGGGAUCGCAAGACCUCAUGCCCCUGGAGCGGCCGAUAUCUGAUUAGCUAGUUGGUGGGGUAAAAGCCUACCAAGGCAACGAUCAGUAGCUGGUCUGAGAGGACGACCAGCCACACUGGGACUGAGACACGGCCCAGACUCCUACGGGAGGCAGCAGUGGGGAAUUUUGGACAAUGGGGGCAACCCUGAUCCAGCAAUGCCGCGUGAGUGAAGAAGGCCUUCGGGUUGUAAAGCUCUUUUGUCAGGGAAGAAACGGUAGUAGCUAAUAUCUAUUACUAAUGACGGUACCUGAAGAAUAAGCACCGGCUAACUACGUGCCAGCCGCCGCUGUAAUAC
rnacentral:rRNA from 1 species